rnacentral:rRNA from 1 species
UACGAAGGGGGCUAGCGUUGUUCGGAAUCACUGGGUUUAAAGGGUGCGUAGGCGGUCAGAUAAGUCAGUUGUGAAAUACCCCGGCUUAACCGGCGGAACUGCGAUUGAUACUGUUUGACUUGAAUCAGGUUGAGGUAGGCGGAAUGAGGCAUGUAGCGGUGAAAUGCUUAGAUAUGCCAUAGAACACCGAUUGCGAAGGCAGCUUGCUGGACCUGUAUUGACGCUGAGGCACGAAAGCGUGGGGAGCAAACAGG